CACAUGCUCAUGUAGCCAGAAAUGUUGAACCAAUAACUAGGUGUAUCUCAUGCUAGUUUCCACAAUAAGGCAUUUAUGAAACCACCAGCCCUACCUGUUCUAAAUAAAUGAAUAAAAAUGUGGAUGCUAAUUGAAGAUUAGCAUCAUCUCCCAUCCAUGUUAAUGUGCUUUUUGGUUAUUUGCAAUUCUCUUUUGUAAAUCUGAGGUAAACAUCAUUGUCCAAAUUAGCUCUUUUCACUCAGUAAAGGCCAUAUUAGCAUUCUGAGGUUUGCGUUUGCCUACUGCUUAUUUAGUAAGGUCAGAUGAGAAGCUAGUCAAAUGACUUCCAUUUCACUUAAGAGGCGUACCGAGUGGGGAGAACUCAAGCCUCCAAAGCCCGAACUCCCUGGCAGUGGCUCCCCAGGUCCCUCCCCUCUCUCAGUACUGAGCCACAGCACUGCUGGGAGCAGCAACUACCACCACAGUGGUCUCCCGGGAAGGGCUGGCCCAGAUGGGUGACACUGAGUCAGGUGGUUGCAAGGUCCUCUGCCUGGAUCUCGGUCCCCGUCCCCUCAGCGCUGCCGCCGUUAUCAUCAAUGACAGCUCCAAUGUCACCUUCUCUCUUGCCCCACUGAAGUGGCCAUCAUCCCCCAGGCACUUUCUAUGCCACACUUUCACAGCACACGUCUCGGCAUCCAGAGGGCUCUUUCAUGUCUGCCUGGCUCCCCUGCUGGAACCGAGCUCCAUGACCAUAGCAACCCUGCCCACUCACGCAUCCCUGAAGCCCGGGUGCUGACACCACAGAUGUUCAAUAUUUGUUGAAGGAAUGGAAGUAGGAAGGAAAGUCUGAGCUGGUCAGGGCUUCUGGAGUAACUCUAACAAGGAAAGCGGAGGCUGCACUUGUGGUCUCAAAUCUUUUCCAAACUCCACUGCGUAAAAAAAAAAAAAAAAAAAAAAAAAAAAAGUCUUUGAAACCAGACUCGCAUCCAAAUCCCAACUACUUUAACCAGUGGCAGGAUCACUGGAGCAGAUGGUUUAACCUCCCAGAGCCUGUUUGCUAAACUGCAAAAUGGGGGAAAUGAUACCAUUUAGGUUAAGCGCCUGGCUCUUUCUAAAUGUUGGCUCAAACGGUGGUGACCCUUCCCAGACUUCCACCACUACUGGAAGUUUGCGUCCCAAAGCAGACACCCUCAUCGCCUUGGCUCCGAAUGCAGAGAGCUAGUUCCGAGAAGCCGAGGGGAAGCUGAAGGCGCGCCCUGGCCAACCCUCCCCACGAUCCCCCGCCGCAACCCCUGUCGGCCCCUUCCAGCCCACAGUGGGUGGCCCCAGGCCUCGCUAGGGUCACGUCUCUCGGGUCCCCGCGCAGGGAAGGGUCCAACCAGCGACUCGCAACCUUUUCGGGGUCCCGAGUCCAACACCCGUGGGAAUCCCAUGGGCACCAUGGCCCCUCGCUCCAAAAAUGCUUUCGCGUCGCGCAGACACUGCUCGGUAGUUUCGGGGAUCAGCGUUUGAGUAAGAGCCCGCGUCUGAACCCUCCGCGCCGCCCCGGCCCCAGUGGAAAGACGCGCAGGCAAAACGCACCACGUGACGGAGCGUGACCGCGCGCCGAGCGCGCGCCAAGGUCGGGCAGGAAGAGGGCCUAUUUCCCAUGAUUCCUUCAUAUUUGCAUAUACGAUACAAGGCUGUUAGAGAGAUAAUUAGAAUUAAUUUGACUGUAAACACAAAGAUAUUAGUACAAAAUACGUGACGUAGAAAGUAAUAAUUUCUUGGGUAGUUUGCAGUUUUAAAAUUAUGUUUUAAAAUGGACUAUCAUAUGCUUACCGUAACUUGAAAGUAUUUCGAUUUCUUGGCUUUAUAUAUCUUGUGGAAAGGACGAAACACCGUGCUCGCUUCGGCAGCACAUAUACUAAAAUUGGAACGAUACAGAGAAGAUUAGCAUGGCCCCUGCGCAAGGAUGACACGCAAAUUCGUGAAGCGUUCCAUAUUUUUACAUCAGGUUGUUUUUCUGUUUUUACAUCAGGUUGUUUUUCUGUUUGGUUUUUUUUUUACACCACGUUUAUACGCCGGUGCACGGUUUACCACUGAAAACACCUUUCAUCUACAGGUGAUAUCUUUUAACACAAAUAAAAUGUAGUAGUCCUAGGAGACGGAAUAGAAGGAGGUGGGGCCUAGGCAGAUUCAUCUCUGCGGUGCAUUUUGCCUCUGGCCCUCGGGCCCUAGUUUGCGAUCUUUCCCAUCUUGCCUCUGCUUCCCUCUGCACAAUCCUGAGUAUUGCAGUACCUUACACUUAAGGAAAUUUCGUCUUGCCAAAGUUGAUCCAUUUCAGCUCCGAAACAUAACAGGAACUAGUGCAACGAUAAACGUAUGAGGAACUUGCAAUAAGAGUGACAGAAUCCUUUGAAUCAAAAAAAAAAAAAAAGCCACCACUUAAUGAGUAUCUACCAUAUGUCAAGGGCUUCACCAAUAUUUCAUUGAAAUAUUCCAGACCAAAUAAAUAAAUAAUAAAAGAAAAAAAGAAAAGGGGGAGGGGGCAGAAAAAUAAAAUAAUGUUUAAAAAAUUCCUGACAGCCCCACCCUGUGGGUUUUACUGUUUUACUGUCAUCAUUUUACACCAAUCACUGAGAGGUAAAGCCUGAUAAGACUUACAGAGGCACAGACCCUGAAAAGAUCGGGACCCAGGUCUCAGGUAAUUGAGUUACAAAAACACAGUCCCGAGUGGUAAGACAAAGAGGAAACAAAGUCCAACCACGUUCAGAUUUCCUGCGAUGACUUAGGCAAUGUUUUCUGAAAUAUCUUUCCAACAGAAAAAUGGUGCAACUGCUUUGCUAGUGCUUCAGCAUGCACGUGGGCCCUGCGGCCACUGGGACCUCAGUCGAUCUGCCGGGAGCGGCCGCACAGCUCCCAGCCUCCAGGCGCGCCGCAGGAGGACUGUUAGGCUCGAAGCCCCGGAGCCACCCAGGGACAGCGGCGGGUACUCUACCAGCGGGCGCUGGGAGCUGCCGGGCAGCAUUCCAUUCAGGACUCAUUCCUUUUCUCUUCAGUGGAAGUGAAAUGAUCCUUUCCAGGUAACAGCCGAGCAUAGGGGACUGCGGGACAUCUCCGCCUCUUCCUUGGCUCUGGGCCUUCGAUGUAAGGCGUUAGAGGACAAUCUUUGUUGGCUGGAUUUCUGUUCUUCCCCUAGAGAUAUCUGGUUCUUUGGAGGCCACUUGGGCAAUUGGGUUAACAAUCACUUACCUGAUACCUGCUCCCAAAACGAAUCCUAUUGAUGAAGGAUCUUCUUUCUGAGCAGUAAACCUGUGUUUAAUUAACCUUAUGCAAAUGAGCUUAAUUGCUUAUCAGUGGCUGUUGUCCAGAAGCACCUAGGGAUUCCUUCCCUCAGACAUUUUCAGCACCUAGAUGAACCGCAAAGUUGGAAGCCUUUCAUCUACACAUGUGUUGUGUGCCUGUGGAGCCCUGGGCCCUGUGUUGAAGAUUGCAAGGAAAAGCAAGGUGUGACCCCUGCUGUGGACUUACUUUCAGUCUUAGGGCAACAGACACUUACAACCAAGAAUAACAAAGGGAGCCGUCGGAACAUCCUGGGACUCCAAGGCUCCGACCCCCAGCGCAAAGGACUCUAGGGACUGGCUUCCUGGCUGUACCGCGCAGCGGGACUCCUCGUCUGCACAGCUUCGGGGAGGCCCAGAGCACGCCCCUACUAGCCGGCUCCGUCCAAGGCCCACCAAGACAACCCGCCACGAAACUUCCCGGCCCCCUCAGCCCAGGGCUCCCGGUCCCGAGCUGCUGGCCGGUGGCGCGGGGCCUGCCGCCCGCCUUCUACGAGCCGCAUGGACGGAGGCCUGCGUGUUAUUUCAUAGAGGCCGAAACGGAGACCCAGGAAAGAUAAAAGAAGGGCUCAACCCGGGACCCCCACUAGCCAGCCGAGGGCGAGAAAUGAAAGCCAAGGCUGAAUGAUUCCCUGUGCCGUGAGCUCUCUCCCACUCCAUCCACACUCUCCUCCCUGCAAAGAGUGUUCUGCAAUUUGCAGCGUCGUCUGUAGCCCAAGCAGGAGGUGCGCUGUGGAAACUGAGGCCGCUGGGAGGCCUUGCCAACCGUGACCCGGACGUCGGACGCCCCAGCCGAGGCCCGGCGAGUCCUUAGCCCCUCUCGAACUAAAAUGGACCGAACAGAAAAUGCGGACGGGGCUCCCUCCUUUCGGGUAGCGGCGGGGCAGACGGGAGGCCGUCUGUGACCGAGCUCUCCAAGUCCCGCCUUCCUUUCCAAGCCUGCCCGGCGGAGACCACCUUACUCCCUGAGACCUCCGCCCUGCCGCAGCGCUCCCAGGCCAGGCCAGGCCGGCGGUGCCCGCGCCAUCUAAAGGGACAAUUCUGGUUGAACCUGGGAUUCCCGGCAGGGCGCCCUGUCUGUGAGCGCCCCGGAGGUAACUUCCCCGGUGUGGCAGGCGUGGAAAUGGGCAUGGAUGAACCCUCGGCGCCUUCGAGCUCUUGAGGAAAGAGCCCGGGACCGCUGCGCUAAGGACCGUGACGUAAUGCCCCUCCUCCAUUCCGGGCCCAAGGGAGGGUCCUAAACGCGGAGAGGGAGUGCCCUGUGGGGGAAAACUGAGUGUGUCUGGAGGGCACAGUGGAGAGGUUGAGUGCUCGCUGCUGCCCACUUGAGCAGGCCCGAUUCUGACCCUGGGAGCCCCAGAACCCGCGGGGCGGCUCCCACCCCCACCUGUUGCACGGUGUUCCGCCGCCCCGCUCCGCCGGUGCACUCCCACCUCCGUAGCCCCAGAAGUGACAUCUUUUAUUAUUAUUAUUAUUAUUAUUAAAAACGAAAGUCACGGGUACAGGGUGGUCUCCCCAAACAGGCUCCAGGUGGUUGCCAUCUCGUGAGUCAGUUGUCGCCCUUUUAAAGUGCUGUUACAUCAAGAGGUUACAACAAAAAAUAGCCAAAGCAAAAUCCAAAGGGGAAUGCAAAACGGGACUGGAAGUGGGUCCAGGAGAAGGAAGCAAAAAUAACUUACAGCAUAAAUAAAUUAAAGUGAACCUAAUACUG
rnacentral:lncRNA from 10 species